rnacentral:rRNA from 1 species
GGCAGAGGUGCCGAGCGUUAGGCGGAAUCACUGGGCUUAAAGCGUGUGUAGGCGGACUUCUAAGUACCUUGUGAAAUCCCACGGCUCAACCGUGGAAGUGCAUCCGAAACUGCAUCGCUUGAGUCUCGGAGAGGAAGGUGGAAUGCUUGGUGUAGAGGUGAAAUUCGUAGAUAUCAAGCAGAACACCUGCGGCGAAGGCGGCCUUCUGGACGAUGACUGACGCUGAGACGCGAAAGCGUGGGGAGCAAACAGG